CAUCUUCUCCAACCCAUCCUAGUUCAAGUCUCCAAUAUUGCAACCAGUAUAGGUAAGGAGGAAUUCUAGGCUACCCUUAGCUGUAUGGUUAUGAUACACCCCCUGGAUGUCCCCUUGACCAAUGAUGUGAUGGCACUUAUGGGGCGGGCGCAAAGAGCGCCAACCAAGCUGGAGCACAGCAGUGGAAGAGCGCUAUGACUGACGCCCAGGGCGGUGCACGUGGACAGGAGGAGCAUCACAUGACGCCUCACCUGCAACC